UACGUAGGUGGCAAGCGUUGUCCGGAAUUACUGGGCGUAAAGAGCGCGUAGGCGGGGAUUUAAGUCAGGAGUGAAAACUGGUGGCUCAACCACCAGCCUGCUCUUGAAACUGAAUCUCUUGAGGGUAUGAGAGGAAAGCGGAAUUCCCAGUGUAGCGGUGAAAUGCGUAGAUAUUGGGAGGAACACCAGUGGCGAAGGCGGCUUUCUGGCAUACAACUGACGCUGAGGCGCGAAAGCGUGGGGAGCAAACGGG
rnacentral:rRNA from 1 species